GAGAGAGGAAACGUCAACCUAAAACACUGCUACUUUUUUAGGCCCACGGUUAAAAUCCGUGGCUCACUCG
rnacentral:tRNA from 1 species